rnacentral:rRNA from 1 species
AUGGGCGACGCUGGCGAGAAUUUCGUCGUGCUGCUGCUGCCUGGACCUCGGUACCGUGCCUGCCGGAGCAGAGCAGCCGUCGCAAGGAGCAGCAACAAGCAACAAUGGCAAAGAGCAGCAGCCCUAGCAAGGAGCAGCAGCGGCAACCAGCGGGAAGGAGCAGCAGUGGCAAGCAGUAGCGGGAAGGAGCUGGAUGGGCAUGGUGUCGCCCGCCGUGGUUGCGGCAACCCUCCAGCCCUGCCGCGUCGCGUGCAUCACCUCCAGAACGGGGCUAUGCGACACUUGGGCCGCUCUGUACGCAGGAGCUGGCACGCCCUCGAGCUCGCCAGACCAAUGCCAGCCGGCUCCGGCGACGAGCUCGUCGGCAGGGACCCGAUUGCUUUUUCUAAAAAACUGAAAAGGACCUGA